GGUGGUGAUUUGUACACAUAUUUCGGUGAUGGAGGAGGCGGGGACUUGUACACGUAUUUUGGUGAUGGAGGAGGCGGUGACUUGUAGACGUAUGUUGGGGUUGGAGGAGGCGGUGAUUUAUACACGUAUUUAGGGGAUGGAGGCGGCGGUGAUUUGUACACAUACGUUGGGGUUGGAGGAGGCGGUGACUUAUACACGUAUUUUGGUGAUGGUGGAGGUGGUGACUUGUAUAUAUAUUUUGGUGACGGAGGAGGUGGAGAUUUGUAAUAGUAAGGUGCGGGAGUUGGCUUAGGCUUCAUGCAUUCUUCAUAAGGAGUUUUGGAGGCAUAAGCAAAUGGUUUUGCAUAGAGUACAACUUCGUAUUUAUCCUUUGACUUCACUUUGAGGCUAGCACCUUUAAUGCCCCAGUGUAGAUUUGUAGGAAUGUUACAUUUUGAAUCCUUUGGUGCUUUGUGGAGUUUAGCCAUGCAUGCAUCUGCUCCAUAUUUAGCAUAGUCAAAUCCUUCGACUGUGAUAGCAAACUUGCCAUUGAUUUUAGUGGUACCAUAGCUCUUGAUUUUCUUGUCACCAACUUUGCAUGUGACCUCAACAACAGCACCUA
rnacentral:lncRNA from 1 species